rnacentral:rRNA from 1 species
GGACUGCGAUGGCUCAUUAUAUCAGUUAUAGUUUAUUUGGUGAAGUGUACUACUUGGAUAACCGUAGUAAUUCUAGGGCUAAUACAUGAGAAAGUCCUCUGGUGAGGUGUGUUUAUUAGAAUGAAAACCAUAUGCUUCGGCAUGAUAGUGAGUAAUAGUAACCUAUCGUAUCGCAUGCUUAAUGUAGCGAUGAGUCUUUCAAGUUUCUGCCCUAUCAGCUUUCGAUGGUAGUAUAUGGGCCUACCAUGGCAGUAACGGGUAACGAAGA